rnacentral:tRNA from 1 species
GGCGCUGUGGUUAGUUGGUUAGAGUGCCAGUCUAGUAAACAGGAGAUCCCUGGUUCGAAUCCGGGCGGUGCCU